rnacentral:rRNA from 1 species
GAUGAACGCUGGCGGCGUGCUUAACACAUGCUAGUCGAACGAUGAAGCCCAGCUUGCUGGGUGGAUUAGUGGCGAACGGGUGAGUAACACGUGAGUAACCUGCCCUUAACUCUGGGAUAAGCCUGGGAAACUGGGUCUAAUACCGGAUAGGAGCGUCCACCGCAUGGUGGGUGUUGGAAAGAUUUAUCGGUUUUGGAUGGACUCGCGGCCUAUCAGCUUGUUGGUGAGGUAAUGGCUCACCAAGGCGACGACGGGUAGCCGGCCUGAGAGGGUGACCGGCCACGCUGGGACUGAGACACGGCCCAGACUCCUACGGGAGGCAGCAGUGGGGAAUAUUGCACAAUGGGCGCAAGCCUGAUGCAGCGACGCCGCGUGAGGGAUGACGGCCAUCGGGUUGUAAACCUCUUGCAGUAGGGAAGAAGCGAAAGUGACGGUACCUGCAGAAGAAGCACCGGCUAACUACGUG